AGCGAACGUUAGCGGCGGGCCUAACACAUGCAAGUCGAGCGAGAAAGUGGCUUCGGCCAUCAGUAAAGCGGCGGACGGGUGAGUAACACGUAGGUAAUCUUCCUUCGAGCGGGGGACAACGGUCCGAAAGGACCGCUAAUACCGCAUACGUUUCUCGGGACCUCGGUCCUGGGAAGGAAAGCUAGGUAGCAAUAUCCGGCACUCGAUGAGGAGCCUGCGUCGCAUCAGCUAGUUGGUGGGGAAUGGCCCACCAAGGCGAAGACGCGUAGCUGGUCUGAGAGGAUGAUCAGCCACACUGGGACUGAGACACGGCCCAGACUCCUACGGGAGGCAGCAGUGGGGAAUAUUGGACAAUGGGCGCAAGCCUGAUCCAGCCACGCCGCGUGAGUGAUGAAGGCCUU
rnacentral:rRNA from 1 species